CCUCCAGGGCACUGCAUUACAGGGAAGCAAGUCAUGCUCUGCUUGCAUUUACAGUCUUGUAACCAAGUAUGCUAGCUAACAAAAUCGUCUUAUAUUUUGAUACGGAGGGAGUGGUAGAUAGUAUUAACGUUGUGCUUGAUACAUAUGUUAACUUGCUUGGUGACUAAAUCUAAAUAGGAUAGCUGAGGCAGCAUCUUAAAUGCAGCAUUUGUGUCAUGUCUACUGCCUGAUACUAUAUUCUUAUUUAGAAAUACUUGCAAAUAUGCAAAAAACAAUAUUUGCUGACAUGCUUUUAAAUAUCACGUGCAGGACAGACACUACUUUUUUCUCGCAUUCCCAUCAAGACAGAUCUUUUACUGCAUCACAUUUACAGGCAGUCGUAUCUGUUGCAUUUGUACCUCGGUGAAAUAUAAAUGAGAUGUGGGUACAUGUUUUUUUGGCAGGAUGCUUACUUCUAUCGGAGGAGGGUCUGAAGCUCUUGCUGAUGGAGAUGAGCAGGCCGGAGGGUAUGGGGGCCUUCGCGUUGAGGUACUUGUAUAUGAGGGCCUGGUGCUCCAGCUCCAUCCACUGCGAAGGCGCCGGGUCAAGACAAAAGUGCAGAUAAAGCGGUGAAAAGAAGCAAUGGAAUGGAGCAGCCUUGGCUGCGGAGGAGGGGCCCGUCGAACGCCAGAGCGCUGCACAUCUAUCAUGGCUUGCAGAGAACAGAUCGAGCGAAGAUCGUGCGAAAAAUAAAGUGUGUGGAAGAGGGAGGAGCGGAUCCAAGAAAAGACCUGACGAUGGAGGAGCGGCGGCCUUGGAG